GAUGAACGCUGGCGGCGUGCCUAAUACAUGCAAGUCGAGCGAACGGACGCGAAGCUUGCUUCUCUGAUGUUAGCGGCGGACGGGUGAGUAACACGUGGAUCACCUACCUAUAAUACGGGGAAAACUUCGGGAAUCCGGCGCUAACACCGGAGAAUAUUUUGAACCGCAGGGUUCAAUAGUGAAAGUCGGUCUUGCUGUCACUUAUAGAUGGAUCCGCGCUUCAUUGGCUAGUUGGUAAGGUAACGGGCUUUCAAGGCAACGAUGCUUAGCCGACCUGAGCGGGUGCUCGGCCGCACUGGAACUUGGACAGCGUCCGUACUCCUGCGGGAGGCCGCAGUAGGGUAUCUUCCGCAGAAGGCGGAAGCCUGACGGAGCAGCGCCGCGUGAGUUAUGAAGGUCUUCGGAUCGUAAUGCUCUGUUUUUAGUGUAGAACAUAUGUGUAAGUAACUGUGCACAUCUUGACGGUACCUGAUCAGAAAGCCCCGGCUAACUACGUG
rnacentral:rRNA from 1 species